UCCACGAACAGAGUGUGGAGAGAACAUGGAAGAUACUUCCAUGUUCUCUCCACACUCUGUUCGUGGA